rnacentral:rRNA from 1 species
UACGGAGGGAGCUAGCGUUGUUCGGAAUUACUGGGCGUAAAGCGCGCGUAGGCGGCUUUGUAAGUCAGAGGUGAAAUCCCGGAGCUCAACUCCGGAACUGCCUUUGAGACUGCAUCGCUGAAUCCGGGAGAGUGAGUGGAAUUCCGAGUGUAGAGGUGAAAUUCGUAGAUAUUCGGAAGAACACCAGUGGCGAAGGCGGCUCACUGGACCGGUAUUGACGCUGAUGUGCGAAAGCGUGGGGAGCAAACAGG